rnacentral:rRNA from 1 species
UCUCGACCGGGGCGACAGCAAUAUGAAGGUCGGGCUGAAGACCUUACCCGAUUAGCUGAGAGGUGGUGCAUGGCCGUCGUCAGUUCGUACUGUGAAGCAUCCUGUUAAGUCAGGCAACGAGCGAGACCCACGUCCACAGUUGCCAGCAUACCCUCCGGGGUGAUGGGUACACUGUGGAGACCGCCGCUGCUAAAGCGGAGGAAGGAGUGGGCAACGGUAGGUCAGUAUGCCCCGAAUCUCCCGGGCUACACGCGGGCUACAAUGGUUGGUACAAUGGGCAUCUACCCCGAAAGGGGAAGGAAAUCUCUUAAAGCCAAUCGUAGUUCGGAUUGAGGGCUGCAACUCGCCCUCAUGAAGCUGGAAUCCGUAGUAAUCGCGUUUCAACAGAACGCGGUGAAUACGUCCCUGCUCCUU